rnacentral:tRNA from 1 species
GGGGAUUUAGCUCAGCGGUAGAGCACUUGCUUAACAAGCGCAAGGCCCUGGGUUCAGUUCCCAGCUCCA